CUGAGUUUACGCUCUACAACCCUUUGUGAACAUACCUACAACUGUUGCUUCGGCGGGUAGGGUCUCCGCGACCCUCCCGGCCUCCCGCCUCCGGGCGGGUCGGCGCCCGCCGGAGGAUAACCAAACUCUGAUUUAACGACGUUUCUUCUGAGUGGUACAAGCAAAUAAUCAAAACUUUUAACAACGGAUCUCUUGGUUCUGGCAUCGAUGAAGAACGCAGCGAAAUGCGAUAAGUAAUGUGAAUUGCAGAAUUCAGUGAAUCAUCGAAUCUUUGAACGCACAUUGCGCCCGCCAGCAUUCUGGCGGGCAUGCCUGUUCGAGCGUCAUUUCAACCCUCAAGCUCUGCUUGGUGUUGGGGCCCUACAGCCGAUGUAGGCCCUCAAAGGUAGUGGCGGACCCUCCCGGAGCCUCCUUUGCGUAGUAACUUUACGUCUCGCACUGGGAUCCGGAGGGACUCUUGCCGUAAAACCCCCCAAUUUUCCAAAGGUUGACCUCGGAUCAGGUAGGAAUACCCGCUGAACUUAAGCAUAUCA
rnacentral:rRNA from 1 species